GAAUCCAAAAUAAUCAACUUUGAAAGUAAAGGAUGUUUGAAAAAUGCUGAAGUGACGUCAAGUACAGAAAUUACUCUUCCCACAGGUGUUUCCACCUUUCUGAUAGAUUGUUUAGAUGAAGAUUCAGCUGCAGAUUAUAGCACUGCUAGCAACAGCCUGAAGACUUAUUCAUCCCCUGAAGCAUUCAGAGAUGACAGCCUGAAGACUUAUUCAUCCCCUGAAGCAUUCAGAGAUGAUGAUUUGGGUGACACUUUUGGGUGACUUUUUUUCAGUUUUAUUUGAUGUAGAAAAUGUGGGGAGACUGUCUACAGUAGAGAGACUAGCAGCCUCCCUUAGUGUGACUCACCGGGUCACAUCUUUGCUAUAAACCUGUCCUUAACAUGAAAUCUGUGUAUCUUUCCUUUAAUCUGGUACUAAUCAGGUCCUUGUGUAAUUUGAAUCCUACUUUAAACAUAAAGUGUUCACUGUUGACACAAGCUGUUUAUUGGGAAUGACCCACAAAUGUGUGUUCAGUCAAAUUCCUUCCAAACUUUUAUGCAGCUGUUUGAGCCAAGACAGUGCUUUAAUUUUGGUUUUUAGUUCCUGUCUUGCAAAUGUGAUUGCUUUCAGUUUGGUCAUAAAUUUAAUAACUCAAUGAAAUUCAGCAUAAGAUGCACUUAUAUUUUUUAUGUCCAGAAAGGGGAAAUUUUUACUCCAUGGACCUUGGCAAGUACAAGAACUCUACUCUCCUGGACUCCAGCAAAGCAGUGACCAUAGAUAAGAUACCACAGAUCUCAAAUCUUUCAGCAAUAUUAGAACCUGUACCAGAGGAUUUUCCAGACCGAUGCAUGCCAAGAAAGAGAUCAUCAAAUUGCUGUUACAGUUCUUCAGCAGGAAGCAUUUCAACUGCACUGGCAGGAAAAAACCUCUGUAAAAUAACAGCUGCAAGAGAGAGAACUCCAGACCUAAAAAGUGGUAUGCACUGUUCUUCACCAUUAGGACCGGAAAGCAAGCACCAUAAACAAACAGCUAAAGGCAAAAGGCGGAAGAAAGGAAAAAGCAGUUUUGAUUCCUUAGAAGACGGUUCAUCAUUGUUUAGGCAGCUUGAUGCUCCAGAAGACACGUCAGUCAGAUCAAAGGGGUUGACAGCAGAAGUUCUGCCAACCAAAUGCACAGAUGCUGUGGAGUUUAGCUUGUCGCCGGUGUAUAAAGCCUCACCUGGGGAAGACCUGUUCCUGAAUACCACAGGUCCAUUUGUAAAUUCAGAAGAAAUUCGUCCUGUGUCUCUGAGCUCAGAAAAAGAAAUUAUUCCUCAAAGUCCAGAAGAAAAGAAUAUUUUAAAGCCUCUGUGUGACAGACAAGAAAUCUGCUCAAUUGUUAGAAUGUCACCAGGCCAGAGGCCUUCCCAGCUCCAGCAAGUUCCAAUUAACUGGAAAGAGUUCUGCCUUCCCAAAGGAGUACCUGAAGAUACUAUUACAAGUACCAAAAAUUGGAUCUACUGUAAACAAAGAUGA
rnacentral:lncRNA from 1 species